CAGUAGAGGAGCAGGGGAAAGGCUGCUGUAGAUGAUGAAAGAGAUACAACUGGAAAUGUAUUUUCUCCUGUUGAGUGGUGAAGAUCUGUCCACUGAAGUGGCGGUCUUGUGCAUACAGAAACCUUUCUCUGCCUCUUCCAAGAGAAGCUGGGACACUGAAAAAAUCCAAGCACUUCUUUAGCCUACCUGGGAUGAAUGUCAGAGUUCUGAACAAGAUGCAUUGAUGAAAACUGUGACAGCUCUGGCCAGCAAGUGUGCCAAAGAGCUACACUGGAUCUGCUUACUACUGUGAUGAGGUACAAGUUUCCAUUUUCUCUGUGCG